AAAAAUGGUGGUUCAUAUG
rnacentral:snRNA from 1 species